rnacentral:rRNA from 1 species
UACGGGGGGGGCGAAGCGUUGUUCGGAAUUACUGGGCGUAAAGGGCGCGUAGGCGGCCUUCUAAGUCGGACGUGAAAUCCCUCGGCUUAACCGAGGAACUGCGUCCGAGACUGAAAGGCUUGAAUCCGGGAGAGGGAUGUGGAAUUCCAGGUGUAGCGGUGAAAUGCGUAGAUAUCUGGAGGAACACCGGUGGCGAAGGCGGCAUCCUGGGCCAACACUGACGCUCAUGCACGAAAGCGUGGGGAGCAAACAGG